GGGGUUAUAGUUAAUUAUAACAUUUAAAUUGCAAUUAAAAAGUAUUGAAACCAAUUUACCUCA
rnacentral:tRNA from 1 species